UCUAACCUGAGAACCUAUUACCACCACCCAGUGUCCUCAGAAGUCAUGAUAGUCACCAUGAUGCAGCUAGAGUUAUAAGGACCAGAGUUUGACUCCCAGCCUUUGAAAACGAUGUUCCUUGGGGGUAGGAGCAUGCUCUCACCCUUGUCUUCUAUCUCUCUCAUCCUUUAAGACUCAGUUCAGAACUUGACUCUUCAGGCGGAGGCUUCUCUGAGUCCUGAAGCUGGCUGCCUCACUCACAGCUUUCUCUGCAACGGGUGCCUCCACAAUUGUGAUAGAGAAUGACAUGCCCCAGCAUAAUGCCUCAACCCAAGUGUCAACCUACCCUUGACAGAGAAGAGAACCCCAAAUGAAUCUCCCAAGCAACACAAGCUGACCCAACACAGCAAAGCGAGUCACCUUUGAAGAGAAAGAAUGACGCUUAUUUUCUCCUCCAAAGACCUACUUGGAAAGUAGACGUGGUUUACUGCAAAUCUCUCCC
rnacentral:lncRNA from 10 species